GCAUGGAGUUCACCCAGUCCCUUGUACAUCUGCCACAAAUACGGCUAGAUGAUGUACAACGACUUGCAGACAAGAUUUUGCUUACGACACGUUCCAUACUUAAUUGAGAAUUUCGAGUGUAGUUGUCGAUGAGGUGACAGUGAGAGGGAAAUGUCGCAUGUCCAUGAGGCUCAUCACCUUCAGGUUUCUCAGAUGAAUAGUUGAGUAUGUUUAGAGAGUUACGUUUUCUUUUUGUUGUGUUCUGCUGCAUUUGCAGAGACUUUGCAGUAUCCCACGAAGUUCCACUCUGGUUCAGUGUGUUUUUCAGUCUGAUGUCAAUGAUUUUGCUAGGCACUGACCUAGGACACAGGGAAUUGCACCAGGCUACAAAUGACAUGGCAGUGUGUAAACCAGUAGCAAAGACAAAAAUAAUGUUAGGACUGGUGUGAAGUGCACACUGUACAGAGCAUAUGGUGGGCCGCUUCUGGAUCCUCAUGUCAUGGCCAGCAGGGAGAAACUGAAAGAUAUCCGUCUACAACCGGGGAUAUGCAGAUUGCUGCACGGACUUGAAAGUCUUCAUUUGGUGGACUCUAAAUUACUACCAGUAAUUUAAAUUCUUACCAG